AAAAUGCACUGUCAGAGAGGAUUAUGUGCUUUUGGAAGAUGGUAUCCUAUUAGCAUUCCUUUAUUCAAACAUCUCUGUGUGUUUGUGUUACUCGAGCCACAGGGAGGAUUUAGAAAUGCUAUUUCCUCCAUUGAGAGGACAGUUAACAGUAUGUGGUAGUGUGUUUAUUUCUCUAACAGUAAAACCACUGUGUUUUAGCUUCUGACAGGAGGAAGAAAAAAUAAUUGUUAUGUUCUGUGGUGAAUGUGACUUUACAACUGUACUACUAAAGGUAGAUUGCACUUGCAGUGAAUAUUUACGCCUAUGGUGGCAUAUAAAGGCCAGAAAAAGCACCAGGAAAAGGUGCUGUCAGUGGGAUGUAACUCACUGUUGCAGAUUCAAGCCCAGAUGGUCACCAGUAUCAGUGCUGAGACAUCCUGCCCCUUGUCCAAAGCCAAUUCCUUUGGGACCAUAUUUUCUCCCGUAACAAGUUUUGCAGUAGAUUUCAGAUUCAUGCGCUGCCACUGUGGUGCUGUCCAGAGCUUUCCUGCAAGCCACUGAGAACAGGAGAAAAGAGGCAUUUUUAUACAUCUGCAUUUUCAAAUUGGAAUUGAUAAGAGUUCAGACUAAUGACAAUAAGUGUUUAUUUUUGCUUAUAUUGAUAAAUACGGGAAAAGAAGAUAGUCUGUAGUCAGUAUAGAACUUCACUGGGCUGUUGCUGAAGUAGUUGUGCAUGCACUCAACCUGUUGUCUUGCCACUUCAAAGUUCUACUCUAACCUUAGGAAAACCAUGGGCUCAUCAAGACAACUUGUCUAGAUCUUGUGAAGGUUAAGGUGGAUUUGAGAUCAUCAUCCUGAACUCCCAAACCUUAAAGGCAAAGAGAAGGUUGCAGGGGUGUUGGUUCUGCUAUGCGUCUGCAUCUUUUGAACUAGUAACUCUGAGUCUGUGGUGCCUUUCUCAUCUCAGCCCAUGCUGUUUUACGUGGCAUGUUUCUAAAAGAGGAUAUAAGAUGCAUACCAUGUCUGGGGCAAGCAGGACAUGUGUUUCUAUUUACUCGAUGAGUUGUGGUGCAAGGCAAAGCAACAAUCCCAAGUAACUGCUAGACUGCUCUAUUAGACUUCCUUCAGGAGGGCAAGAGUACAAUUAUAGCUGUUCCAAAACAGAGACCUCUUCCUAGUCAUGUUCUUAUAGGAAAAAUACUGCUUGGCUUAGCUCACUAGGAGUAGUCUGGGAGACUUUUAGACAGGAGGUGCCAUAGGAAUGCCCAGCGUUUGUAACGGAAUACAAGUUACAUCCUCUACAGCACUGCUUUAAACCAAGCCCCAACUUGGAAAGACCAAAAGCUAAAUGAGUGCUAACAGCUGCUUAUCUGGGGAGCUCAGCAAGCAAGCAUCCUUGUUCUGGUAAACACAAGCUGCACCCAGAGCUAAGCGGCGUUACUGAGAUGGGUCUCACACACGGUUGCUCUCCUCUGAAACCUGAUCAGCGUUUAGAAGCUGAAUCUGUUUCCAGUCCAGGGCGAUCUUCUUGCUGCUGAUGGAUGGAAAGUGGACAAUAAUGAAUGGCAAUAAAACAGUAGCUACAUUCCUCAUCUGCUUGGUGAAUACAUGUGCUGCAGUGUUGUGGGUACUCAGCAUGAGGUACUUCCCACACCACUGCGAGAGGAUGAAGCUUUCAGUUCAGAGUGCUUCUAGAAAAGGAUGGGUUUGUAGUAUGCUUAGAAAUUGAAAUUUCAACACUGCUUAGAAAUUGUUCACUCUGUCGAUGGUGGUUGAUAUGGGGGAGGGGGGAAUAGGCAAAAACUCUCUUCAACAACCUUUUAACUAAUGUGUGCCCCACAGAGUACAUUCCAGUCAUGCGCAGGCUCUUGAGAGCUGAGUAAAUGAAGGUGCUUAGCUCACAUAAGCCACAGAAACCUGUGAAAUACAGAAGUAUUGGCAGUGGUUGAAAGUUUAAGUUCUCGCAGAGCUAGCUGUUUGAUUAGCCCCUUUCCCCCCAUGCUUAUUUACACUGUCCUACUGUGAGUCUAAAUUCACAUGCAUCAGGGAAUUUAAGCUGAUACUGGAACCUGCAGCUUCAAUUCUAUUAUUCUAUGUGUGUGUUGGGGGGGAGAUAAUCUGCGAGGACCUUUAUAGUUAAUAGAAAUCAAAUGAAGGGCUUCUGUAAAUGUGUGAACCUGAUCUCAUCAUGCUACAGUCUUUCUGCUUUGAGAUGAUAAUUAUGUUUGCUAAUGGAGUUAACGGAUGAUGGAAACUCUAGGAGCAGAUAAAGCGUUUCUAUUUCUGGCACUUUAGGGAUAGAGUAUCAAUUCACUAUAACAGAUGGAGCAAAAGCCCUUGAAGUGCUACUGUUGAAAUAACUUUGAGACCUGUCAUCUGCCAACAGAUACUGUCGGCGAGCCGGCACGAAGAAGUUUCAGGUUAAUGAUGUGAGAUCCUGCCAAAUGUCCAUCACAGCUGUGGGCUGAGUAAAAGCUGUCGGGGAAACAAGAUACUCCAAGUGGUGUUUUCCCAGCUAAUGGCAAGAUGUGCUGUGGUGUUGGACAAAACUUACCUCAGGAGCAGGAAUAGCAAAUGCUACAGUCCAACUUUAACAGUGCACAUCGGACAGAAAUAGUUAGAAGGUAUCAAGAUUUUGGGAUGUUCCCUGUCAAGCGACUUCUAUGUGUCCACUCUCCCUCCUAACACCCCUAAAGCCAAGAAUGAAUAACAGCAAUAUGAGCACCCUGAACUACUCCAGAAUCACUGUAUAAAUAGAUUUCAAUGAAGAUAUUUACCUUGCUGCAACUCUGCAAGCUGUGACUGGAUUUGGUCCACCGAACUGGAAAAAGCUUCUACUUACGCACUGAACACAGUGGAAAGGAAAACGCGAACUGAAACCAGCGAGGAUCAGUUUCAACUUUGAAUAGAUACAAUUCUACACACAAAAAAAUGUGAAGGAGUCUGUCUGAGAAUCAAGGGAGGAUAUGAUUUUCAGUGAAACCCACAAUUGAUUCUUGAUCCCUCAAGAAAGAGCAGGCGCAUUUUUUAUUAUGAUGGAUGUACAAGCCUACACCUAGAAGUACCUUUUCAUUUGAAGGGAGAGGAAGAAGAAGAAGCGUGCAGGGAACUGAGAGCAGGGUAAAAGAAUGAAGAAAUAAUUGGCAGUUACAGACUGGGUUUCACUUCCUCUCACGUGUAAGCGAUUAACAGGACUUGUACAGAAUUUCUUUAGCUUUCCAACAAGUAAGUUAUAUGACCAAAACAGAGACUUGCAUGAUUCUGGGGCAGCUUUGGUGAAAGGAUGCUGAAAUCUCUAAGAUACGGCUUGAGGAAAAAGAGAAACUGUUACUGAUAAGCAGCCUUGUGACAUUGCGUUAGAAAACAGGAUUUAAUGGACUUUUUCCUUUUACAUGGUCAUUAUGUAUCAAUGCCUAUGCCCAAGUGGGUCGCUGUUAAAAACUGUUUAGUCCCUGUUAGAGGUGUUUCGCGAGUUUUUGGAGGCUCAAAUAUAUUUAUGGCAGCAAAAAGAUGAUGGUAUUUUACACAAUAUGAACUAGUACUGGAAUAGUUCAUUUAGCUUUCACUUGAUAUUGUACUUACUU